AUUGAACGCUGGCGGCAUGCCUUACACACGCAAGUCGAACGGUAACAGGUCUUCGGAUGCUGACGAGUGGCGAACGGGUGAGUAAUACAUCGGAACGUGCCCGAUCGUGGGGGAUAACGAAGCGAAAGCUUUGCUAAUACCGCAUACGAUCUACGGAUGAAAGCAGGGGACCGCAAGGCCUUGCGCGAACGGAGCGGCCGAUGGCAGAUUAGGUGGUUGGUGGGAUAAAAGCUUACCAAGCCGACGAUCUGUAGCUGGUCUGAGAGGACGACCAGCCACACGGGGACUGAGACACGGCCCAGACUCCUACGGGAGGCAGCAGUGGGGAAUUUUGGACAAUGGGCGAAAGCCUGAUCCAGCCAUGCCGCGUGCAGGAUGAAGGCCUUCGGGUUGUAAACUGCUUUUGUACGGAACGAAAAGACUCUGGUUAAUACCUGGGGUCCAUGACGGUACCGUAAGAAUAAGCACCGGCUAACUACGUGCCAGCAGCCGCCGUAAGAC
rnacentral:rRNA from 1 species